rnacentral:rRNA from 1 species
AGCGGAGGGAUCAUUACUGAGUUAUUAAAACUCCAAACCCUUUGUGAACCUUACUGUCGUUGCCUCGGCGUGAGCUACGGCUACCCUGUAGUUACCCUAUAGCUACCCUGCAGCUACCCUAUAGUUGACCAGUGGCUACCCUGUAGUUACCCUAUAGCUACCCUGCAGCUACCCUAUAGUUGACCAGUAGCUACCCUGUAGCCGGCUUAUGGCCCGCCGAAGGACCGCUAAACUCUUGUUUUUUUACCACUGUUUCUCUGAAUUGUAAACUUAAAUAAGUUAAAACUUUCAACAACGGAUCUCUUGGUUCUGGCAUCGAUGAAGAACGCAGCGAAAUGCGAUAAGUAAUGUGAAUUGCAGAAUUCAGUGAAUCAUCGAAUCUUUGAACGCACAUUGCGCCCAUUAGUAUUCUAGUGGGCAUGCCUAUUCGAGCGUCAUUUCGACCCUUAAGCCCCUGUUGCUUAGCGUUGGGAAUCUACAGCGUAGUUCCUUAAAGUUAGUGGCGGAGUUAGGGUACACUCUCAGCGUAGUAAUCUUUCUCGCUCGUGUGGUGGCCCUGGCUGCUAGCCGUUAAACCCCUAUAUUUUCUAGUGGUUGACCUCGGAUUAGGUAGGAAUACCCGCUGAACUUAAG